AACGAACGCUGGCGGCAGGCCUAACACAUGCAAGUCGAGCGAGACCUUCGGGUCUAGCGGCGGACGGGUGAGUAACGCGUGGGAACGUGCCCUUUUCUACGGAAUAGCCUCGGGAAACUGAGCGUAAUACCGUAUACGCCCUUUGGGGGAAAGAUUUAUCGGAGAAGGAUCGGCCCGCGUUGGAUUAGGUAGUCGGUGGGGUAAUGGCCUACCAAGCCUACGAUCCAUAGCUGGUUUGAGAGGAUGAUCAGCCACACUGGGACUGAGACACGGCCCAGACUCCUACGGGAGGCAGCAGUGGGGAAUCUUAGACAAUGGGGGCAACCCUGAUCUAGCCAUGCCGCGUGAGUGAUGAAGGCCUUAGGGUUGUAAAGCUCUUUCAGCUGGGAAGAUAAUGACGGUACCAGCAGAAGAAGCCCCGGCUAACUCCGUG
rnacentral:rRNA from 1 species